UUGCCCUUGUAUCGUCUGUUAGGAAAGAAAACUCUCAAUUUUCUCUUAGUCAACAAUAUUGGAAUGAACUAUAGAUGGCUAUCCGCCUUUCUUGUACUCUGCUGCUGCCUUUGAAAAUUCAAGAAGCUCCAAGGCCAGUCCCGGGUGCUAUAAUUCAUGCCACCGAGUGUCUGAAACACAAGAUUCCCCGUGGAAGGACAAGAGCAAUAUCUCUGGGUAUGAACAGCAAUGAAAUAUGUGAGUGGAUCUCUGUCUUUCCAUUCCUCAAAAGCAAGGUUUGGGAGCUGAGCAGGUUCCUAUGUAUGUUGAGAUGAAGUUAAUAUAGAAAGGAAAGACUCUGAAGAAAAGUGAGAAUUAUAGUGUUCUUCCUAAGGAAAUGAGCAGCCCACAAAGCAUAAGGUAGGUGGACUGGAAUAUUGAUU